UACGUAGGGUGCAAGCGUUAAUCGAUAUCUGGGCGUAAAGCGUGCGCAGGCGGUUAUGUAAGACAGGUGUGAAAUCCCCGGGCUUAACCUGGGAACUGCAUUUGUGACUGCAUAGCUAGAGUACGGUAGAGGGGGAUGGAAUUCCGCGUGUAGCAGUGAAAUGCGUAGAUAUGCGGAGGAACACCGAUGGCGAAGGCAAUCCCCUGGACCUGUACUGACGCUCAUGCACGAAAGCGUGGGGAGCAAACAGG
rnacentral:rRNA from 1 species